GUAGCGGUGAAAUGCGUAGAGAUCUGGAGGAAUACCGGUGGCGAAGGCGGCCCCCUGGACAAAGACUGACGCUCAGGUGCGAAAGCGUGGGGAGCAAACAGGAUUAGAUACCCUGGUAGUCCACGCCGUAAACGAUGUCGACUUGGAGGUUGUGCCCUUGAGGCGUGGCUUCCGGAGCUAACGCGUUAAGUCGACCGCCUGGGGAGUACGGCCGCAAGGUUAAAACUCAAAUGAAUUGACGGGGGCCCGCACAAGCGGUGGAGCAUGUGGUUUAAUUCGAUGCAACGCGAAGAACCUUACCUACUCUUGACAUCCAGAGAACUUAGCAGAGAUGCUUUGGUGCCUUCGGGAACUCUGAGACAGGUGCUGCAUGGCUGUCGUCAGCUCGUGUUGUGAAAUGUUGGGUUAAGUCCCGCAACGAGCGCAACCCUUAUCCUUUGUUGCCAGCGGUCCGGCCGGGAACUCAAAGGAGACUGCCAGUGAUAAACUGGAGGAAGGUGGGGAUGACGUCAAGUCAUCAUGGCCCCUUACGAGUAAGGGCUACACACGUUGCUACAAAUGGUCGCAUACAAAGAGAAAGCGACCUUCGCGAGAGUCAAGCGGACCUCAUUAAGUGCGUCGUAGUCCGGAUUGGAAGUCUGUCAACUUCGAUCUCAUGUAAAGUCUGAAAUCGCUUAGUUAAAUCGUAGAUCAGAAAUGCUUACGGGCUGAAAUUACGUUCCGGGACUUGGUUACACGACCGCUGGAUCACCAUCUAUGGGCAUUGGCUUGGCCAAAGCAACUAGGUUAGCCUUCAACCGUUCCCGUGAAG
rnacentral:rRNA from 1 species